AGGGAAUAUUGCACAAUGGGCGCAAGCCUGAUGCAGCAACGCCGCGUGAGGGACGACGGCCUUCGGGUUGUAAACCUCUUUUAGUAGGGAAGAAGCGAAAGUGACGGUACCUGCAGAAAAAGCACCGGCUAACUUCGUGCCAGCAGCCGCGGUAAUACGAAGGGUGCAAGCGUUAAUCGGAAUUACUGGGCGUAAAGCGCGCGUAGGUGGUUCAGUAAGUUAGGAGUGAAAGCCCCGGGCUUAACCUGGGAAUUGCUUCUAAAACUGCUGAGCUAGAGUACGGUAGAGGGUGGUGGAAUUUCCUGUGUAGCGGUGAAAUGCGUAGAUAUAGGAAGGAACAUCAGUGGCGAAGGCGACCACCUGGACUGAUACUGACACUGAGGUGCGAAAGCGUGGGGAGCAAACA
rnacentral:rRNA from 1 species